rnacentral:SRP_RNA from 1 species
UUCUGGUUCCCUCGCGACGAUAAACUAUGAACUCCGCCAGGUCCGGAAGGAAGCAACGGUAAUAGUGACCUCGGGUGCCGAGGUGCGGCUGGGGCGG